rnacentral:rRNA from 1 species
AGAGUUUGAUCCUGGCUCAGGACGAACGCUGGCGGCAGGCUUAACACAUGCAAGUCGCACGAGAACGUUCUGGCUUUGCCGGGACAAGUACAGUGGCGGACGGGUGCGUAUCGCGUAGAUAACCUGCCCUCAGGCGCGGGACAAUCACGGGAAACCGUGGCUAAUACCGCACGUCGUCUGGACCCCGCAUGGGGACCAGAUGAAAGCCUUCGGGUGCCUUUGGAUGGGUCUGCGUUGGAUUAGCUUGUUGGUGAAGUAAAAGCUCACCAAGGCAACGAUCCAUAGCUGGUCUGAGAGGACGAUCAGCCACACUGGGACUGAGACACGGCCCAGACUCCUACGGGAGGCAGCAGUGGGGAAUCUUGCACAAUGGGGUCACCCCUGAUGCAGCCAUGCCGCGUGGAGGAAGACACCCCUAUGGGGCGUAAACUCCUUUUCUGAACGAAGAAAACUCUGUAGCUUCAGAGCGAGACGGUAGUUCAGGAAUAAGCACCGGCUAACUCCGUGCCAGCAGCCGCGGUAAUACGGAGGGUGCAAGCGUUGUCCGGAAUCACUGGGUGUAAAGGGUGUGCAGGCGGGGCAGCAAGUCGGAUGUGAAAGCCCGUGGCUCAACCACGGAAGCGCCUUCGAUACUGCUGCUCUUGAGUCCCGGAGAGGCUGUCGGAAUUCGUGGUGUAGCGGUGAAAUGCGUAGAU